GCCGUAAUAGUCUGGUGGUUAGGACAUUGCGUUGUGACCGCAUGGACCGAGGUUCGAGUCCUGGUCACGGCG
rnacentral:tRNA from 1 species